CAGUGCCCAGAAGUAGUAAGUGUUUAAUAAUUGCUUGUUGGCUGACUGACGUAGGACAUAUCUCCACUUCUACAAAGACAGUAGUAAAGACAGGAAAUGUAAACUAGAUAUUGCUUUCUAUUCAUGGCACAAUUUCAAAAAAGCAGUUUGGCUGAGGGUUCAGGCCAGGCUCCAGCUGAGGCGCAAGACCAUGACACAUCUACUGCAAUGGUUCACAGUCAUCCUCUUUUUACAAAUUGAAGAAGCCGUCUCCACAGAAGUCCCAAGGAUGAUUAUGGGGACUGUGGGGAAGUCAAUCACUCUACCUUUGAAGAUGUCAUCAAACAAGAUUCGAACUAUUGUCUGGCUAUCUCAAAAUGCUCUUGCCACUGUCGACUUAAAAGGACCAGACCCCUUUAUAAUAUAUACUGAUUCCAAGUACGAAAAUAGAUUAGAAGUCCUCAAAAAUGAAAGCUACUCUCUGCGAAUCUACAAUCUGACAACAGAAGAUGAAAAUGUCUACAAAGGGCAAAUAAUCCUAGAGAAUUCAGUUUCAACUGAAAUGAUUAUUCAAAAGUUCUUCCUACAUAUUUAUGAGGAACUGCCCAAACCCCAGAUCACAUUAAACUUUACAGGGUUUGAGAAUGAUACCUGUAAUGUCACCUUGCUGUGCUCCGUGGAAAAGGAAGGGAAAAAUGUGACUUACAGGUGGACAUCCCUAGAAGAUGGACAUACAAUCACCUUCCAUGAGGGACCCAAAGCCACAGUCUCCUGGAAACAUGGGGAAAGUGAGCCAAAUUAUAUCUGCAGAGUCACAAAUCCUGUCAGCAGUCAGAGUGCCCAGGCAAAUCCUUUUCCAGGGCUCUGUCCAGGACAAUCAUCUAGGAAUUAUUCUGGGCUGAUCAUAGGAAUUAUAAUUCCAGUUAUGCUGUGUAUAGUCAUCAUGAUUGGGGUGAUUAUUUGGAAGAAAAGGGAACAAGGUAUCACCUACUUCUUUCCUGUUCCACAGCAGGAGGCUGUGGGGACCACAAUAUAUGCACAAGUUAAUCAUCCAAACAGGGUCUUCAAGUGCUGAAUGUGAAUUGUAUAUUCAUUAACUGAUGAAACUGAAAGAAGUUGGACUUCCAGCCAAGAUGGCGGAGAGGAGGCACACAGCUAUGUAAGCUCUGCGUUUUUCUCUCAGAAUCAUUCCAUUAUAAGCCUCUGAAUUAAUGCUUGACUGAAAAAAAAAACCCACAAAUAGUUACCAAGAGAAGACAUCCUUGAGAUUCGCCAGGAAAGUUUGUCUUUGAUUCUUCUCUGACAAAAUGAGCAAAAAAUUGAAGAGGACUUUAACCCUUGACAGCUUCUAUACAGAUAGAGAGCAGUCUCUAAAUCCUGAGGAGACUAAAAACAGACUAUCUCCAGGUGAAUCCCCAAAGAAGGAGAUCAUCUGUUCCUCAGCACAGAUGAACCUCAUAGAAGAAAUUAAAAAGGCUCUCACAAGGGAGCUAGAAGAAAAAUGGGAAAAGGAGAGGGAGGCUUGGCAAGAGAGUCUGGAGAAGUCAUCCCACUUAUUUAAAGAGAGACUGGAUAAAGAAAUAAAAUCCUUGAAAAAUAGGAUUAGUGAACUGGAAACAGAAAAUAGCUCUCUAAAAAACAAAAUUGGCAAAAUGGAAAAAUAUUCCAUAGAACAAAAGAACGCAAUUGGACAAUUAGAAAAAUAUUUUUUAAAAGUGAGUGAAGGGGGCAGCUAGGUAGAGCAGUGGAUAGAGCACCAGUCCUGAAGUCUGGAGGACCUGAGUUUAAAUCUGAUCUCAGACACUUCACACUUCCUAGCUGUAUGACCCUGGGCAAGUCACUUUACCCCAAUUGUCUCAGAAAAAAAAAAAAAAGUGAGUGAAGAAAAUAUUUCAUUGAAAAUCAGGUUCGAACAAAUGGAAUUGAAUGACUCGAGGAGACAAGAAGAAUCAGUCAAGCAAAUCCAGAAAAAAUCAAACAAUGGAAAAGAAUGUGAAAUACCUUCUGGGAAAAACAACAGACCUGGAAAACAGAUCCAGGAGAGACAAUUUGAGAAUCAUUGGACUCCCAGAAAAGUAUGAUGAAAAAAAGAGCCUGGACACUAUUUUCCAGGAAAUUAUCAAAGAGAACUGCCCAGAAGUCAUAGAAACAGAGGGUAAAAUAGACAUUGAAAGAAUUCAUCAAUCACCUACUGAAAGGGAUCCUAAAAUCAAAACAUCAAGAAAUAUAGUGGCCAAAUGCCAGAACCCUCAGACAAAGGAAAAAAUAUUACAAGCAGCUAGAAAAACCCAAUUCAAGUAUCUAGGAGCCACAAUAAGGAUCACCCAGGAUCUAGCAGCAUCCAUAUUAAAGGAUCGAAGAGCCUGGAAUAUGAUAUUCUGAAAGGCUAAGGAACUUGGUAUGCAACCAAAAAUAACUUACCCAGCUAGAAUGAGCAUCUUUUUCCAAAGAAGAAGAUGGACAUUCAACGAAGUAAGCAAAUUUCAUCUAUUUUUGAUGAAAAAGCCAGAACUUAACAAAAAGUUUGAUCUACAAAUAUAGAACUCAAGAGAAAUCUAAAAAGAACACGACUGAAAGUCCUAACAUUCCAGACAAAAAGGAUUCUGUCACAAUUUACUCUACUAUCCAGUCUCCUAAAGAG